rnacentral:pre_miRNA from 1 species
GGGUAAGUGAAAAGAUGGUGGACCCCAGAACAUGUGCUUGAUUCAUGCCAUAUGUCUGUGGACCACCUGUCUUGAGGAGACC